CCAUGCCGUAAACGUUGGGCGCUAGGUGUGGGGUCCAUUCCACGGAUUCCGUGCCGCAGCUAACGCAUUAAGCGCCCCGCCUGGGGAGUACGGCCGCAAGGCUAAAACUCAAAGGAAUUGACGGGGGCCCGCACAAGCGGCGGAGCAUGCGGAUUAAUUCGAUGCAACGCGAAGAACCUUACCAAGGCUUGACAUGCGCGGUGGAAUCCCAGAGAUGGGGUGUCAUUUAGUUGGUCGCGUACAGGUGGUGCAUGGUUGU
rnacentral:rRNA from 1 species